GGAUACGGUAGCUGAAGAGAGCCGUCCGUUGACAGUUCACUAUGGACGCUGUCAUGGAGUCGCUCUCUUCAGACUCCUAGAU
rnacentral:pre_miRNA from 2 species